UCACAUCCUUGUGUGCUUCUCGUGCCUUCCUCACUUUAUACACCUGUUCUCUCAUGUGACUCUCUCUCUCUACCUUGCUCUUAAUUCCUUCUGGUUUAGUUCUACUCCUACCUCCUUCAUCUUCAUACACACACCAUAGUUAGUAGUACUCUUAAUAAUUAAUAACUCUUCUUUGUCAUUAGUACUUUCUGGUUAAUAUCUGAGUGGAUAACUACUCUCUGAGAUGAUGCCCCCUGAGCAAGAAACAACUAUUGCAACAAACAUUCCAGCCAUCACAACCCGACAAGAGACCAGCUCGGUCCACCAUGAAUCAGAGGGUUCAAACACUAACAAAAUCAAACCAAGUUUAGAAUUGGAUGAUAAUGGCAUUCCUCCGCAGCAACAGACUCAGCCAACAACACCACCACCACCAUCAAGAUUUUCCGUUCUUCACCAAUCCUUACGCCCCAUUACCCUCAAAUUUGAAGACGUAUCCUACACUAUAACCUUCGAAAGCCAAAAGAAGAAGGGUUGCGUCUUACGUAAAGAAUCAAAGCUAAGAAGAAAAGUCCUCACCGGAGUGACUGGAGUAGCGAACCCCGGCGAGCUAACGGCAAUGCUGGGUCCCUCCGGCAGCGGCAAGACGACCCUCUUAACCGCCCUGGCCGGAAGACUCGCCGGAAAAGUCUCCGGCACCAUAACCUACAACGGCCACACCGACCCCACCUUCGUGAAACGCAAGGUAGGGUUCGUUCCCCCAAGAGGACGUUCUCUACCCUCACCUCACAGUGUUGGAAACCCUAACCUACGCAGCGCUGUUGAGGCUUCCGAAGAGUUUGAGCAGAGAAGAGAAGAAGGAGCACCCGCGUAGAUGUGUGAUCACGGAGCUAGGGCUAACACCGGUGUCGUUAAUAGUCCCGUUGGAGGGUGCAUGGCUCUGUUCCGUGGCAUUUCGGGUGGGGGAACGGAAACGGGUCCAGUAUCGGGCAGGAGAUGUUGGUCAACCCGAGUUGUUGUUUGUUGAUGAGCCCCACCUCGGGCUUGGACUCCACCACGGCCCAACUUAUUGUGUCGGUGCUCCGCCGGGCUCGCCUUGGCGGGUCGAACCGUCGUCACCACCAUCCACCAGCCCUCCAGCCGGUUGUAUAGGAUGUUUGAUAAGGUGGUCGUGUUGUCGGAUGGGUACCCAAUUUAUAGCGGGCAGGCGGGUCGGGUCAUGGACUAUCUCGGAUCCGUCGGAUAUGUCCCAGCUUUCAACUUCAUGAACCCAGCAGAUUUCCUUCUUGACCUUGCUAAUGGGGUAGUUGCUGAUGUCAAACAUGAUGAUCAGAUAGACCACCAUGAGGAUCAAGCUUCAGUCAAACAAUCCCUAAUGUCAUCUUUUAAGAAGAACUUAUAUCCUGCUCUUAAAGAAGACAUUCACCAAAACAAUACUGAUCCGUCAGCUCUUAUAUCAGGAACACCUAGACGCUGUGAUAACCAUUGGACCUCUAGCUGGUGGGAGCAAUUCAGGGUGCUUCUUAAGAGGGGUUUACAAGAGAGGAGGCAUGAAUCUUUUUCUGGCUUAAGGAUUUUCCAAGUCUUGUCUGUAUCCAUUCUCUCAGGACUUCUGUGGUGGCACUCUGAUCCUUCACAUGUACAAGAUCAGGUUGGACUCCUUUUCUUCUUCUCCAUCUUCUGGGGAUUCUUCCCUCUCUUCAAUGCCAUCUUUGCCUUCCCUCUGGAGAGGCCAAUGCUAAUAAAAGAAAGAUCAUCAGGGAUGUACAAACUCUCCUCAUACUAUGCUGCUAGGAUGGUGGGAGAUUUACCAAUGGAGCUAGUGCUUCCUACCAUCUUUGUAACUAUCUCCUAUUGGAUGGGUGGUCUCAAUCCUUCAUUGGUCACAUUUGUGCUAACACUCUUGAUCAUGCUUUUCAAUGUUCUAGUCUCUCAAGGCAUAGGCCUAGCACUUGGGGCCAUUCUCAUGGAUGUGAAGCAGGCCACAUCACUAGCUUCAGUGACCAUGCUGGUAUUUCUCUUGGCUGGUGGAUACUACAUUCAGCAAAUGCCGGCUUUUAUAGCUUGGUUGAAGUACAUUUCUUUCAGCCACUACUGCUAUAAACUACUAGUAGGAGUCCAGUAUUCAGUAAAUGAGGUAUACGAGUGUGGACAAGGGUUGCAUUGUAGGGUAAGAGAUUUUCCUGCCAUAAAGUGUUUGGAGCUUGAGGAUACUAUGUGGGGAGAUGUGGCUGCAUUGACUGUAAUGUUGAUUGGAUACAGAGUUGUGGCAUAUCUAGCCUUGAGGAUGGGGCAGCCUCACUGACCAAGACUUGACAAAUUAGAGACCAUGUUAUUAAUUUUCAAGUUUGGUUGUUUUAAUUAAUCACCCCUCAGUUAAUGUGGUGAUUCGAUUCAAAUUGUACGGUGAAUAUCUUAAGUCCUUGUGAUUAAUUGACAUAAAUGAAGCAAUCAAAAUUUGUUGAGUAUAGUCCAAUUUUUUUGUGACCAGAUAGACUCCAGCUAGUGUUUUAUCAAGAGGGGAAUAGUUUAUUGCUGCCAUCAAAAGGUGAUUUUGGAUCUUUAUGGGCACAUAAUUAUUGUUUCAAUUUGGAACAUAUCAUAAAGUGAAUGCGUAUUCUCUCAGCAUAUGUAUUUGGCCUUGUUUAUAUUAUGGGCACAUACUAUUGUUCA